UUUAAGCCAUGCCCCCCCCCUCCAAACUUCGUUUGUUCUUUUAUGACUAAGGAUAUUUAUCUCCUGCCUGCUUUAGAAGUUUAUGGGCUGCUUUUCCUUUGAAUUCCAGGCCAAGGUCAGUAGCCUUUGGGUUGUGAUGUCACAGUGUGUUACCUUGGUUACCACUAUGACAUCAUUGGGCAAACCUGGGGGUUUGGUGGGGUAGUGGGGAGGUCUAUGAAACAAUCUCUUUCAUCUGCAGCCCAUGAGGAAACUGCCACUGCUUUUGGAAAAAAAGGUUUGGAGAAGUUGUACGAAGCUAAAGAGAAGAAUUAAUAAGAUUUACUGCCCACCCCCCCAAACGCCACAGACCCCUAAAAGUCAGGCCACAAUCAAAGGCUGCAGACUUCUGAAGGGAAGAAGCCAAAGGAACAAAUGCAUUCCGAGAAACCAGAACACCAUGUUUGCAAAAAGACCAUCAGGUCAGGGGAAGGGGAAAAAAAGAAUGUGUUUUUAUUGUGAACAUGUGUCAAGAGGACUCCGCCACAUAAACUCGGCUAUCUGCAGACCUCUCAGCUCUCUGUCACCCAAAUACGAUCUUAGGGUGUUUGCAAAACAAGACACAUCGUAAAUCUCAAGAAGGGCUAGAA
ensembl:lncRNA